UGAAUGUUUUUAUGCUCUGUUUAUUAAUUUAUAGUUCAGUUGGGUUUAUAGUUGUAAUUUUAUAUGAUGUUUGUGGGUUUUAUAUUAGUAUAAAACUUGUCUUGACAUGUUCCAUACAUUCAUACAUAUACAUAUAUAAUUACUAAUAAUUGAUAUAGUUUGGAGCUACUUAAUUUAAAACGUGGGUGGCUUCGGGAUUGGGAUUGAAUGUUGUAUAAUGGAUUCGUUGAUAUAGGAUAUUUCCUUUGUAUGUUUGCCUAAUUGGAAGUUCAAUUCGUUGCAAUUUAUGAUUGUUGCUAUUCGUGAUGGUAAUUUUUUUCUUCAAUUUAGAGUUUUAUAUACUGUCGUUUUGUUUACCUAGAGGGAGUGUAAUUCAACUGGUGUUUGUGUGCUACAUGCAUAAGUAAUUAGUUGCAUUAAUAUUCUUUUGGCUGUUCAACAUGUUUGUGUUACCUACGGACUUUUAUAGGUUGUCAUUUGCAGCAAUAGAAAUUAGUACUUUUAAUUACUAGACAACUUUAACAUUUUAUACUAACUUACUUUUUGCUACAUGUUGUUCUUAACGGAUCAAACAAGUAAGACUUUAAAACAUUAUAUUGAUUGCAUGUUAUAAAGAUUGAUUGUUUUGGUGAUAUACCUAAUAAUAUCUUGGAUUGUGCUGUGAAGAGUUAGGAAGGGGGUGAUCUUAGUGAAAAUUGGGUGUACCUACUUGGUCCCAGCCCGUCUGAUCUCUACCUGGAGAUGUUGCUGCUAGAUGAUGGUGUCGGUGGCGCCUCUGCGGAUAUUAUUGGUGGUACUGCCCGGUGCUUAUCAAGUGCAACCAGUCCAAUUGAGCAGGGAAUAAUAUUAUGUGGGAACCAUUUAUUGCUAAGCUUACAGGAAGUCUAGUCCAUAGACCAAUAUAUUCUUUGAGCAUCAGCUUUUCAUGUUGGAUGUCUUAAGUUCGAGAUAUGGGAAUGACAUUUCAAGGUAUUUCACAAUAAAGUCCUCCAGUGAAGCAGGUUUGAGUCUUGCACAGAGGGCAAAGUUUUAUCCCAAUUAAAUGUU